GACGAACGCUGGCGGCGUGCCUAAUACAUGCAAGUCGUGCGGACUUUGCGGGAGCUUGCUCCCAAGAAGUUAGCGGCGGACGGGUGAGUAACACGUGGGCAACCUGCCGGACAGACUGGGAUAACAUUCGGAAACGAAUGCUAAUACCGGAUAGGCAGCGAAGAGGCAUCUCUUUGCUGGGAAAGGCGCUACGGCGUCACUGUAAGAUGGGCCCGCGGCGCAUGAGACAGUUGGUGAGGUAACGGCUCACCAAGGCGACGAUGCGUACCCGACCUGAGAGGGUGACCGGCCACACUGGGACUGAGACACGGCCCAGACUCCUACGGGAGGAAGCAGUAGGGAAUCUUCCACAAUGGGCGAAAGCCUGAUGGAGCAACGCCGCGUGAGUGAUGAAGGCCUUCGGGUUGUAAAACUCUGUCUUCUGGGACGAACGGCCAAGAGAGGGAAUGCUCUUGGAUUGACGGUACCAGAGGAGGAAGCCACGGCUAACUACGUGCCAGCAGCCGCCGUAA
rnacentral:rRNA from 1 species